UCAAGUCCGAUAGUUGGCUUAUUAAGGAGGUAAAAUGGUAAUAAACUUAUGGUAUAAUAAGAAAAUGAAAGAGU
rnacentral:tRNA from 1 species